UCAUCCUACGGGAGGCAGCAGUGGGGGAUAUUGGACAAUGGGGGGAACCCUGAUCCAGCGACGCCGCGUGAGUGAAGAAGUAUUUCGGUAUGUAAAGCUCUGUCAGCAGGGAAGAAAGCAAUGACGGUACCUGACCAAGAAGCCCCGGCUAACUACGUGCCAGCAGCCGCGGUAAUACGUAGGGGGCAAGCGUUAUCCGGAUUUACUGGGUGUAAAGGGAGCGUAGACGGCAGCGCAAGUCUGGAGUGAAAUCCCAUGGCUUAACCAUGGAACGGCUUUGGAAACUGUGCAGCUGGAGUGCAGGG
rnacentral:rRNA from 1 species